GAUGAACGCUGGCGGCGUGCCUAAUACAUGCAAGUCGAGCGAACGGACGAGAAGCUUGCUUCUCUGAUGUUAGCGGCGGACGGGUGAGUAACACGUGGAUAACCUACCUAUAAGACUGGGAUAACUUCGGGAAACCGUAGCUAAUACCGGAUAAUAUUUUGAACCGCACGGUUCAAAAGUGAAAGACGGUCUUGCUGUCACUUAUAGAUGGAUCCGCGCUGCAUUAGCUAGUUGGUAAGGUAACGGCUUACCAAGGCAACGAUGCAUAGCCGACCUGAGAGGGUGAUCGGCCACACUGGAACUGAGACACGGUCCAGACUCCUACGGGAGGCAGCAGUAGGGAAUCUUCCGCAAUGGGCGAAAGCCUGACGGAGCAACGCCGCGUGAGUGAUGAAGGCCUUCGGAUCGUAAAACUCUGUUAUUAGGGAAGAACAUAUGUGUAAGUAACUGUGCACAUCUUGACGGUACCUAAUCAGAAAGCCACGGCUAACUACGUG
rnacentral:rRNA from 1 species